CCUGGCUCAGGACGAACGCUGGCGGCGCGCCUAACACAUGCAAGUCGAACGAGAGAUGAGGAGCUUGCUCUUCAAAUCGAGUGGCGAACGGGUGAGUAACGCGUGAGGAACCUGCCUCAAAGAGGGGGACAACAGUUGGAAACGACUGCUAAUACCGCAUAAGCCCACGGCUCGGCAUCGAGCAGAGGGAAAAGGAGCAAUCCGCUUUGAGAUGGCCUCGCGUCCGAUUAGCUGGUUGGUGAGGUAACGGCCCACCAAGGCGACGAUCGGUAGCCGGACUGAGAGGUUGAACGGCCACAUUGGGACUGAGACACGGCCCAGACUCCUACGGGAGGCAGCAGUGGGGAAUAUUGCACAAUGGGGGAAACCCUGAUGCAGCGACGCCGCGUGGAGGAAGAAGGUCUUCGGAUUGUAAACUCCUGUUGUUGAGGAAGAUAAUGACGGUACUCAACAAGGAAGUGACGGCUAACUACGUGCCAGCAGCCGCGGUAAAACGUAGGUCACAAGCGUUGUCCGGAAUUACUGGGUGUAAAGGGAGCGCAGGCGGGAGAACAAGUUGGAAGUGAAAUCCAUGGGCUCAACCCAUGAACUGCUUUCAAAACUGUUUUUCUUGAGUAGUGCAGAGGUAGGCGGAAUUCCCGGUGUAGCGGUGGAAUGCGUAGAUAUCGGGAGGAACACCAGUGGCGAAGGCGGCCUACUGGGCACCAACUGACGCUGAGGCUCGAAAGUGUGGGUAGCAAACAGGAUUAGAUACCCUGGUAGUCCACACCGUAAACGAUGAUUACUAGGUGUUGGAGGAUUGACCCCUUCAGUGCCGCAGUUAACACAAUAAGUAAUCCACCUGGGGAGUACGACCGCAAGGUUGAAACUCAAAGGAAUUGACGGGGGCCCGCACAAGCAGUGGAGUAUGUGGUUUAAUUCGACGCAACGCGAAGAACCUUACCAAGUCUUGACAUCCCUUGACGAACAUAGAAAUAUGUUUUCUCUUCGGAGCAAGGAGACAGGUGGUGCAUGGUUGUCGUCAGCUCGUGUCGUGAGAUGUUGGGUUAAGUCCCGCAACGAGCGCAACCCUUAUGGUCAGUUACUACGCAAGAGGACUCUGGCCAGACUGCCGUUGACAAAACGGAGGAAGGUGGGGAUGACGUCAAAUCAUCAUGCCCUUUAUGACUUGGGCUACACACGUACUACAAUGGCGUUAAACAAAGAGAAGCAAGACCGCGAGGUGGAGCAAAACUCAGAAACAACGCCCCAGUUCGGACUGCAGGCUGCAACUCGCCUGCACGAAGUCGGAAUUGCUAGUAAUCGUGGAUCAGCAUGCCACGGUGAAUACGUUCCCGGGCCUUGUACACACCGCCC
rnacentral:rRNA from 1 species